UUUCUUCUUCGCCCACCCUGAACCCCCGACGGUUCCCUCACUCUCAUUUCUCCUCCCAUUAUCUCUUGCCAUCUGCGCGCUCUCUCUCUCUCUCUCUCUCUCUCUCUCUCUCUCGGCCUCCCUGCACUGCCUUAUGCUUCCUAAUCCCAGCCAAUCCCAUGGGCCAUCACUCACAACCUUUGAAGCAGCUCGACCCUAUGAAUGGAGAGCCAAAAUUUCUUUCUUUUCCUGCUUUCCUGAAGUAGGGCAAAGGUUCCAAGACUCUCAAGGGGGAGAUGCUUGAAGCCAUUGCGCCUUUAGAUCGCGGAGCAGAUGCCACUGUCGAAGACCAGCAAAGCUGAUCUGAGAAAGCAGGAUGAAGUACCACUGGAAGCUACCCUCUGCAACAACAACAACAUCAAAGCUUUUUGCCCUGGUCAGUGUUCCCAUGAUCCCGUGAUUACAACUCUCUUCUCAUCUUGCUUCUUUCCUUCCAAUUUGAUAACAUCGGUUAUUUAUACCUAUUGCCAACUUCCGGAGUGCUUGUUUUCUACUUUUUAUGUUUUCUGGUUUCAUUAGAGGUCGUGAUAAAUGCUUAUGAGUUAUCACCAAAGCAUGGGAACCGAUCUUUUCUAAACUGAUUAGGUGGCAUAGACUAGGCCAAAAAAUAACAUAAUUGCUAUUCUAACACAAGUGAAAAUGUUUUCUAUCACUAAAACGUACCCUUUUUGCUCCUUUUAUCCCUGCAUCUUCUAACACAAGUGGAUUGUCAUAUAUAUCAUCAAGGAAGCUUAUGGAUAUCAUUUAGUAAACUCUGAUCAACAUGGAAGAUGCUUUGAGAAGCUUUAGUACACUAUGACCCAAUUUACUGAUUGUUUUUUCUUAAAGCAUUUCAUACUUUCUGAAGAGCAUGAGCACCUCUUUCCAAGAAUAUAAUGAUGCUUCCUCCUUCAUUCCCCCCUCUGGAGAAAAGAAUUUUCAGGAAAAAUGUUUGCUUUAGAAUUUCUUAGUUUGUUUUGCAUAGCCAGAAUGUUGCUUUCAUUUUUAAUGGUUUUUACAUGUAUGAUAACAAUGAGUUUUGUAUAGUUAUAUUAAUUUGAGCAUUUUUUGAAAAGGUGAGGAUUCGGUCUUGGAUGAAAUUGUGUGAACAAAAUAGGCUAGGUAUCCUUUGAUGGAAUAGUCUUUUUAGUUGAGGAUGAUUCACAUUCUGUAAGUAGCAGUGAGCAAAGCAUGCCAAAUCAAAUUUUUAUGUUGUAAUGUGAAAUCGAAUUGGGCAAUUAAUUAUGUGAUUCUACUCGAGGGAUCAAAUAAUAUAGCAUAUAUUUGUGAUUAGAUAUGUGAUUAGAUAAUCUAGCACCAUCUAUGUGCAUGCUAAAUAUGCUUUGAGAUUCUGAAAAGAUUUUGCUCUUUGCAAGUUGAGAGUCCCUGGAUGCUGCGUUCAUUGCAAAAGAAUGUGGCAGCUAUUGGAGUUGCACUCCAGGCUUUGUACUGGUUAUGAUGUUUGUAGGGUGCCUUUUGCGCAGGUGAACCAUUCUCUCUCCUCUUGCUUCUUUCCUUCCAGUUGAUAACAUAGCUACAUAUGUGGUUUAAGAGAUCUGAGUUUCUUGGAUCCAUAUUCGUCUAAAACAUCUGCCUAACUCAGGAAAAUACCGUCUUUUCAGGAACUUUAAAGAAAGUAUUAGGAGAUAGAGUACCAUUCUUGUCAUGGGAAUCGUGAGAUCUUCAUGAAAAAAAGUUUGCUUCUCCUAGAAUAAGCUUUUUGAACUUUAAGCUAGAUGUAAUUGCAUAUUUGUAGAGAAUAUUACAAACCCAACCACACCUCCCCCCCAACCCCCCCCCCCCCCCAAAAAAAAACUCACAAGUUGGGGAUGUUUCUCUGUAAUUGUCAUGUCUUGGUUUCUAUGUAAUUACUAAUUAUAAAUUGUUUCUAAUUUUUUUAUAUUUGUUAUUGCGUGCUUCCUUUUAUCAAAAGUAAAAAAAAUCUUACAAAUGGAUAUAGAAGAAAUUUCUUUUAUAUUCAUUUGUAAGAUUUUUUUUUUUUUUAGUUUUCAAGGGUUUUUUUUGUGGCAAAAUUAUUUCGCCGCAAAUUUUAUUUGUGAUAAAAAGGGGAGAAAAUGUCUUUUUGGUCACAUUUUUAUUUGCCAUGGUAUAUUCGCCACAAAUAGGUUUUUUCCAACCAAAAUUCAGUAUUAUAACUAAGAUUUGCUAGUGAGAAAAACUAGCCCGAAAAUUUUUUACCAGCAAUAGUUAACCAUGGUUGGUAUACAUUUGUGAUAACAACGAAGACUAUUUGUGGCAAUAUAAAUAACUGCAAAUUGUCAAUGUUUUUGCGACAUUAUUACUAUUCUAAUUCCAAGAUCAUUACAUGUUUUUGCAACAUUAUUACUAUUACUAUAAUAAUUCAUGAUUUUUCUAAACUCACAAAGAUCGAUCUUCAACCUUGAGCAUUGUGGACUUGGAGGAGGCUGAUAAUGAUAUAAAAUGAAGAUUUGGAUUUAGAACUUGGACUUGGAUGUGCAUAGUCAUAGAUGAGACCAACCUUUCUGCAGCAUGGGUGGGAUUUAGUUGGUGGUGGGCUCUUGGUGGGGUUUGUGUCAUGGUGACGAGUGCAAUUGACUUUGAAACUUCAUUAAGUGGCGAAGAAUCAGUCGCAUUGCCACAUUUGAAUUAUGAAGGUAGCCUCUUAUCAAAAUCAGGUCGCCUUAUGGCACUAUAUUUCUUAAUUUGUAGUUUGGAAGAUCUAUAUCUAUCGAGGAGUGACGUUAUUAGUCUUCCCACAUGCAUCAAAAGUGUUGUUGGACUAAAGCACCUUGUGUUGACGGAUUCCAAAAGCGUAAAAAAAUUUCCAAUUCAAUACCAACAACUUAAGAGCACUUAAAUGGAUUGAAUUGCUUGAUUGCUAUGAAAUGUAUGUGAAUAAAGGGAAUCAUGUGGCAAAUCCUUUGUUGACUGAGGUCUCUCUCUCUCUCUCUGUGUCUCUGAUGUUUCUUUCUUUUGAUACAUGUUUGUGUAUGUUUUGAUUUAUAAUUUUAUAGUUGAAGCUUUGUGACAUAUGUUUGGAAUUGGCGGCGUUUUAUUUCUGGGAAAUACGAUUCCUGAGUAGUUCAUCCACCUUAAGGAGGCUUCAAAUAAUACUGAAUCAUGUGAAAUAAAUAUUGAUGGGAGUCUAUAUUUGGAUGAGAUAAGAGGAAUUGCUCUGUGUCCUUCUCACUUGGACCUACUUAUCUCUCAAAUGAGCUAAAGAGUGCUUGAUUAGCCUGAAUAUCCUAUACAUUUUUUGCCAUUCAAUUUCAUGGGAAGAAAUUCAUUGUUGUUAGAAUGCAUCAUUGUGUAAUUACUAAUUAAGGAUCUGAGAGAGACUGAAGGUACAGUGGUCAUUUUCAAUAUCUAUUUAUUUUUUGAAGUUUGAACCAUGUACAUUUCUUUUAUGCUAAUUAUAAAUUUCUAUUUUUCUUUCUUCUUUUUUUUUUUAACAGGAUUUUUAAAACUUGACAGUUACAGAUUUCUCUGAUUGUCAAUUUCUAACAAGCAUCUCGGACCUUUCAAAGAACUCACAUUUGAAGGAUAAGACUCAUUUAGUUGAAGUUCACCAUUCUAUUGGAUUGCUCAAUGAGCUUGUUCCUUUCAAUCAUAAUCAAUGCAAUAGCCUCAGGAAUCUUCCCAGAAGACUGAAGUUGGAUCUUUAAAAUCACUUGACCUUGAAGGUUGCUCAAGCCUUCAAAGCGUUCUUGAAUUUGAAUGUUCAAUGGAAACUUUAGAAUACAUUAACCUUUCCUACUCUGCGUUCAAAGAAAUAUCUCCAUCUAUCAGGCAUAUCAUUGGUCUUCGGGUUUUAUAUCUAGGAGGUUGCCAAAACUUUUUGCAUAUCUCAAAUUACAUUCUUCAGUUGCAGCAGAUGAAGACACUUUCUUUGGAGCUUGAAUAUGAAAGAAGGUGGAGGGUAAAGGACAGUGCGGUAUGCAUUUUGCUUUGUCUACAAAUGAAUAUGAAACUUCAUCAAGUGGAGAAUCACUCUCGUUGCCACAUUUGAAUACAAAUCAGGUCUCUUUAAGGCAAUAUAAUACUUUCGUAGUUUGGAGGAUACUAUUAGUCUUCCCACAUUCAUCAUAAUUGUUGUUGGAUUGAAGCACCUUGUUGACGGAUUGGCUGCAACUUUAAGGAAUUAUAAAGCAUCAAUCCAAUAUAGAGCAGGUGUGUUAAUGGAUCGAUGCAUCUCAUUGGAAAGCUUUCCAGAAUAUAAAGAAGUUCCAAGUCAAAAUCAGCAACUUAAGAGCACUUGGAUAUAUUGAAUUGCUCAAAUGUCAUGACACGGACAUCUAAAUGACUAUUUUGGCGGCAUUAUUCUUUUGGGAGAUACGAUUCCUGAGUGGUUCAACCACUAUAACGAGGCUUCAAAUAAUACUAAAUCAUGUGAAAUAGAUAUCGAUGGGAGUGAUCUACAUUUGGAUGAGAUCAGAGGAAUAGCUCUUUGUGUUGUUAUUAAAGCAGAUUUUGAAAGCUCUACAUUCCAUCUCUUCCAUUUUCGAGUGUUGAGAUCAUUAUUAACUGUGCACAAAUAAUAUAAUAGCUCUUUGUGUUGUUAUCAUAGGGAGUUCUAAUUUGCUCUAGAGGCUUUUAAGCCAAACAGGAAAGGUCUAAAUCUUGACACAGGGAUUUCAGAAUCUGGAGAUCAUGUAUGGUAGAAGUACUUUGCUCUAGAUUAGCCUUUUAAGCUAAUGGGUAAGAUCUGAAUGUUGAGUUUUAUUGUAAUUCAAGCUCAUCAUACAUUAAGAGUCGCGGAGUCGAUUUGCUACAUAAGCAUGCAUGUAGAGAAAGCAAAAGAUCAUUAAGAUGUCCUCUAUCUAUCAACAUGAUUACGACUUGAAUCUAA